UACGUAGGAGGCAAGCGUUGUCCGGAAUUACUGGGCGUAAAGCGCGUGUAGGUGGUGGGACAAGUCUGCUGUGAAAGCGCCUGGCUUAACCGGGCGAGGUCGGCGGAAACUGUCCGACUAGAGGACGGUAGAGGGGGGUGGAAUUCCCGGUGUAGUGGUGAAAUGCGCAGAUAUCGGGAGGAACACCGGUGGCGAAGGCGGUUCUCUGGGCCUUACCUGACGCUGAGGAGCGAAAGCGUGGGGAGCGAACAGG
rnacentral:rRNA from 1 species